GACGAACGCUGGCGGCGUGCCUAAUACAUGCAAGUCGAGCGAAGUUUUUCUGGUGCUUGCACUAGAAAAACUUAGCGGCGAACGGGUGAGUAACACGUAAAGAACCUGCCUCAUAGACUGGGACAACUAUUGGAAACGAUAGCUAAUACCGGAUAACAGUAUUUCUCGCAUGAGAGAUAUUUAAAAGUUGGUUAUGCUAACACUAUGAGAUGGCUUUGCGGUGCAUUAGCUAGUUGGUGGGGUAAAGGCCCACCAAGGCGACGAUGCAUAGCCGACCUGAGAGGGUGAUCGGCCACACUGGGACUGAGACACGGCCCAGACUCCUACGGGAGGCAGCAGUAGGGAAUCUUCCGCAAUGGGCGAAAGCCUGACGGAGCAACGCCGCGUGAGUGAAGAAGGAUUUCGGUUCGUAAAGCUCUGUUGUUAGGGAAGAAUGGAUAUGUAGUAACUAUACAUGUAAGAGACGGUACCUAACCAGAAAGCCACGGCUAACUACGUGCCAGCAGCCGCGGUAAUACGUAGGUGGCAAGCGUUGUCCGGAAUUAUUGGGCGUAAAGCGCGCGCAGGUGGUUUAAUAAGUCUGAUGUGAAAGCCCACGGCUCAACCGUGGAGGGUCAUUGGAAACUGUUAAACUUGAGUGCAGGAGAGAAAAGUGGAAUUCCUAGUGUAGCGGUGAAAUGCGUAGAGAUUAGGAGGAACACCAGUGGCGAAGGCGGCUUUUUGUCUGUAACUGACACUGAGGCGCGAAAGCGUGGGGAGCAAACAGAUAGAUACCUAGUAGUCCAAGGCGAAUUCCACAGUGGAUAUCAAGCUUAUCGAUACGGUCGACUCGAGGGGGGCCCGGUAUCUAGCUUUGUUCCUUAGUGGAAAUAUAUUACG
rnacentral:rRNA from 1 species